UUGAAGAACGUAUUACAUCUCUACUCAGAGCCACUAGAAGAAACAAUAAGUGCUACACUGAUUUUCCAAACAACGACGUUAACAGAAUCCUGUAACGUGUGUAAACUUAAAAUGUUUUAGAGUGAUACUUCGGGCAUUUAAUAAGUAAUCUUGAGCAGGUUAUACAUCAUAACGUAUCAAGUAGAAUCCUAAAGACCAUUAUUUUUCACUUUCACUAGGAAACAAACUGAAAUGCUCUCAUAAACACCAACGCUUCCAAGUUAACAUGACUGAAAUUCUUUACUCCAUUCAAACGUGUCGUAUCAAAGUCUCGUUUCAAUGAGACUUCACUAAAUAGACCUAUGUGGAUUUUAAAGAAGAACUGUUCAAAAAGUGUUUUGUCCGUCUGAAAACGACGCUGUCCAUCAGACAUCUUCUGUAGUCCGUUCAUAUUCUAUCUAUAUUGUGAGAUACGUUUUUUUUGCUAAAGAGCCGUGACAGUUCUAUUGAAACUUCUAUUCCAGUGGCAAAUGGCAGGUACAUAUUUAAGAAGGUACCAUAAGAUGAAGAUCUAGAUCACGAAAGUUACUGAAAAAUGUGUCGAAAUAUACAAGGAACCGGUGCAAAGUGGCGUUACCAUAGAUAAGAAACGUGUCGGUUUCUAAUAUAAAUGUAAAUUUGUGCUUGUACUCGACCACCGUACCAUGAACGCCCACUGAGGAGUCUAUGCAGGUCAAGUCUUCAGUUAUUCAUAGGGCGAGUUUGCUGUUAAGAUACGCCUAUAGAAUAAAGCCGUAAAAUACAGUUCAUUAACACAGGCAUUCUCCGAUUGAAGAAAGUUUUAAAAAAUCAGUUAAUUUGUUUUCAAGUCAUUUUCAUAGCAGGCUGUUUAUUUCUCAGUUUUUUAUUGUCAACCUGAUGACAAAUUCACAUUACAGCUAAGUUCUGUCCCGGCAGCUUUUAUAACCACGACUGCUACAUAAAACCCCUACCUGAACCCCUGAUUCCUUGUUGUAAAUUCGUAUCGACUGCUUGUUGCAAAACGACUUCAAAUUCAGUGUAAACACACGCCAAUAAAAGACUAGGAACUGAGCAUAAGAGAACUUCAAAUCAUUACUGUGAUUAUCUUUACUUGUAUUCUAGAUGUCAUCUGUCUCAGAUUGUGACGCUUACAGCUGCCAAAGAGUACGAAUACUUCUGACACUCCCUGCAAAUUCCUAACAUCUGUGUUAGAGAGAUUAAUUGUAUGUAUGAUACCUUCCAGUUUGAAACUUUGUGAGGGCCUUCUUAACACCUCUUGAAAAAUAUUCACCAAGAAGAUGAUUGUUGGACCGACUUCUUAAUGAAAGAGGUUAGUAGAAUGAAAAGUGGAUUAUACUGACUCUGGAUCGCGCACAACGACGUAGUGUGGUACUAAUGGCGUUAAACUUUUGGGUUCUAUCACUGUGUUAGAAAGUUUCUUACGAAUUUACAAUUACUAGUCAACACAUAAUAAAGAACAAUUGGUAAGGAGUGGAAAGAAAACUGACUGUAUUUAAAGAACUUUAAUAGAGACAAUGCACCGUAUUAUUGAGUGGUUAAUGUAAUAAACAGAUACGUAAAGGAACUACAAAUUCUAGAUUCUGCCAUUUGCUGAAUUUGCACGCGAACGACUUGUUUACAGAACCGGUGUCUUAUAUAGAAUAUCGCCAGAUCCGUCCAAAUUCGUAAUACGAGCUUAACACACACAUACAAUGUACGGUUCUGCUUUUCCUAAACCUGUGUUUCUUUUCUAAACACGUCACAACACCAGCGUAUUAAGUUCAGACAGUCGUACUCUUUUGAAUUCACUGGCAUUCCAAAUGUGUUCUUCACUCCAAAUCACAUCAUUGUUGUACAAAUAUGAUUUGAGGUCACUGUUCGUGGGGGCAAAACACCUGGAAAACUAUCGCUGGUAGUCAGGCCCCAACGAAGCAAGCAUCCUGCAUAAGGGUCUCGGUGAUACGCCCCACGGGUUAAAUAAAGACUCUUGGUUGUGGCGAAGAAUUGGAAGCAUUCCUUGGGGGUGUCCCAGGGGCAGCAGUCCCCGAGUGUGGAAUAAGCCUCAUGGGUGGCGAAGCCCCUCGUGGGCGUUUUCGAACCUCCUGAGGCCUG